rnacentral:rRNA from 1 species
GAUGAACGCUGGCGGCGUGCCUAAUACAUGCAAGUCGAGCGAACAGACGAGGAGCUUGCUCCUCUGACGUUAGCGGCGGACGGGUGAGUAACACGUGGAUAACCUACCUAUAAGACUGGGAUAACUUCGGGAAACCGGAGCUAAUACCGGAUAAUAUAUUGAACCGCAUGGUUCAAUAGUGAAAGACGGUUUUGCUGUCACUUAUAGAUGGAUCCGCGCCGCAUUAGCUAGUUGGUAAGGUAACGGCUUACCAAGGCGACGAUGCGUAGCCGACCUGAGAGGGUGAUCGGCCACACUGGAACUGAGACACGGUCCAGACUCCUACGGGAGGCAGCAGUAGGGAAUCUUCCGCAAUGGGCGAAAGCCUGACGGAGCAACGCCGCGUGAGUGAUGAAGGUCUUCGGAUCGUAAAACUCUGUUAUUAGGGAAGAACAAAUGUGUAGGUAACUAUGCACGUCUUGACGGUACCCAAUCAGAAAGCCACGGCUAACUACGUG